AUGAAUGGCCGCGGUACCCUGACCGUGCUAAGGUAGCGUAAUCAGUUGGCUUUUAAAUGGAGCCAGGAAUGAAUGGGAAAACCGGGUUUAGCUGUCUCCAAACUAUUUUUUUGAAUUUACUGUUUAAGUGAAAAAGCUUAAUAAUGAUAAAGGGACGAGAAGACCCUUAGAAUUUUUUUUAAAAUUGAAAACUUUUUCAAAAAAAUUUUGUUGGGGCGACAGAGAAAUAUUUAGAACUUUCUUUGAAUUUACAUGCCGAUAUUGUUAAGUAAGAAUAAAUUACCUGAGGGAUAACAGCAUUAUUCUACAGUUGAGUUUGUGACCUCGAUGUUGGACUAGGAAACUAACAGGCUAGCCGUUUGUUGUGUGGGUUCUGUUCGAAC
rnacentral:rRNA from 1 species